AUGCUCACUUCUGAGCACACAGAGUAAAACUGUAGCAAUACUGAGUUUAGUAUGGCCCCUGCACAAGGGUGACAGGCAAAUCUGUGGAGUGCUCCAUAUUUAG
ensembl:snRNA U6 U6 spliceosomal RNA